GUUAAAAACCUCUCAGGUGUCUUCUCAUGCAGGGUGCACUGCAGGAUGUAACCAUCAGAGCUCACCUGCGGUACUGAACGGUGUAGGUGACGUCUUUCUCCUGGGUGGUAGGAGUCCACGUCAGUAGCCACUUAUCAACACUGACGUUCUGUGGUGGAGCCGGUGGCGCCUCAGACAGAACUGAGACAGAUGGACGUGGACAGACCAGCAAAUGAGUAGACGGGUGACAGUUGAAUAUAAGCAGUAGCGAAAUUCACUGCAACUCUAUAAGGUCAAUCUGACCACCACUGUUAUAUCUUUUGUUUUUCUACAAUUUUCAUUCCAAUUUAUCGUCUUCUAACACUAGAGCUAUGCAAAUAAGCAAAUAUUUGUUUUAUUAAUUAGACAUAUAAUGGAAGUGUGAUUUGUCAAACUACAAAUGAAAAGAUCAAUCCUCUCUGUGGCCUACAAGCAGUGUGAGUUUUCUGAUAAUAUACCAUAACUCAAAUUAAGAAUCUUAUUAACUGAGUGUUUUAUCAAUUUAAACGUUAACCUGAGAGUUACAGUGACCAUAUAUUUCGUAAUAAAAGAAGACGGGUUGUUUCUCUUGUCAUGUUCAGUAACUCCCUUUCAAAUCGACAGCUGCUUUCCAUAACUUGUACAUCGCUUAAAACUUAUUACGUUACUAACUUCGGCGCCAUUUAAAGACGAACACUAACGUUAACGUUCAUUUUGCUAACGUUACUGCAUCCAAAGGCUGACAUUUCGGGAAAAAAGUAACUUGUGAACAGCCAAAACACGCGCUGUCUGUUGAUAAGGUCUUUAUUCACAGUGCUGAUUUUACUACAACGUCCUACAUUAACAUUUAUAUGAAUUGAUUCAUGUUCUUAGUUCAGCUCCGCCGACAUGACAGGAGGCUCAGGUGGGAGUUUUCUAACGGAGCUUCGUUUGCUGGCUUAACAGCCCCUUCCAUAAAAGAUGAGAACGUCUUCAGUAGGACUAACGUUAAUUUAAUGACAGAGGCCUGUUUGUGUUAUCUUAGGUACACACACACGUAAAGGAUGUUGCCUCAUAUCUAGCACAGACAGCUAACGUUAGGUUAGCUGAAACGAAACCACAGUUGUUAAACGUCUUACCUUGGACGACGAGUUGAACGUACAGCACAACCCACAGCAUCGUGACAGCAUCAUUUCACAGAGCGCGACGAGUCCCCGAACACAUUUGUCUCCAUUGCAGCCAAAACCUUCCCGUUAAAACUAAAACACAGCAUUCAGCCUGAACCGAGACACUUCCUUAAAAUCUUGGAUGAAGACAGCUAUUUCCCUUAUUUGUCGUUUUCUCGCUCGAACCGGAAGUUGUUCUGCUCCGCCAUUUUGCAGGCCGUUCCAAAACUCUAAUUUGUGCCUUGAGGAGCGAGGAGGAGCUAUGAGCGAGGAUACACCAGCCCGCCCGCCGAGGAUUCAUGGAGAGAUGCAAGGAAACCAAGCAAGGAGAGAAAGAAUGAGGAAAUAUUUAGAGACAUGAGACGGAGUUGGAGUUUGUGUCUGCACACGUGCACUGUGUUGUACUACCCAGUUCUCAGUGCAGAGCAGCGUGAUUCUCUGUAGCUGUUUCCUGUUUAACAAACGCCUGAACAUGAAUAAUUAUAGGUUUCUGUGUGUCCUGCUCAGAGGCACAGGAUCAUUUUUACUGGCACAAUGCUUAUAUUCUCUGCAUUAAAAUUUAUUGAUCCUGA